rnacentral:rRNA from 1 species
GUGCACACUGUGUGGGAGAUGACCUGUCCCGUGCCGUAGUAACGCGAUAAGUGUGCCGCCUGGGGAGUACGGUCGCAAGAUUAAAACUCAAAGAAAUUGACGGGGGCCCGCACAAGCGGAGGAGCAUGUGGCUUAAUUCGAUGCAACGCGAAGAACCUUACCAGGGUUUGACAUGCAGCUGCACGUCCCGUGAAAGCGGGAUUCCUUCGAGGGUGCUGCACAGGUGCUGCAUGGCUGUCGUCAGUUCGUGCCGUGAGGUGUUGGGUUAAGUCCCGCAACGAACGCAACCCCUGUGUUUAGUUGCCACCUCCGGGCAACCGGAGAGCACUCUAAACAGACUGCCCGUGACAAGCGGGAGGAAGGUGGGGAUGACGUCAAGUCAGUAUGGCCUUUAUACCCUGGGCUGCACACGUGCUACAAUGGCCGGUACAGAGGGAAGCGAGACCGCGAGGUGGAGCCAAUCCCCGAAAACCGGCCCCAGUUCAGAUUGAAGGCUGCAACUCGCCUUCAUGAAGUUGGAUUCGCUAGUAAUGGCGCAUCAGCUACGGCGCCGUGAAUACGUUCCCGGGCCUUGUACACACCGCCCGUCACAUCAUGAAAGCCGUCUGCACCCGACGUCACUGUACCAACCGGCAACGGAGGAAGGUGCCUAAGGUGUGGGUGGUGAUUGGGAU